GUAGGGAAUCUUCGGCAAUGGACGGAAGUCUGACCGAGCAACGCCGCGUGAGUGAAGAAGGUUUUCGGAUCGUAAAGCUCUGUUGUAAGAGAAGAACGAGUGUGAGAGUGGAAAGUUCACACUGUGACGGUAUCUUACCAGAAAGGGACGGCUAACUACGUGCCAGCAGCCGCGGUAAUACGUAGGUCCCGAGCGUUGUCCGGAUUUAUUGGGCGUAAAGCGAGCGCAGGCGGUUAGAUAAGUCUGAAGUUAAAGGCUGUGGCUUAACCAUAGUACGCUUUGGAAACUGUUUAACUUGAGUGCAAGAGGGGAGAGUGGAAUUCCAUGUGUAGCGGUGAAAUGCGUAGAUAUAUGGAGGAACACCGGUGGCGAAAGCGGCUCUCUGGCUUGUAACUGACGCUGAGGCUCGAAAGCGUGGGGAGCAA
rnacentral:rRNA from 1 species